GGAAACAGAAAGAAAUAACUUGUGGCUGCAGUUGCAAAUUCCAUCAUUUGGACAGAGGUGGAAGUUUGUAAAAGUUGUGGGCUAAUGGUAGAAGUUGGGACUCCGCGCAGAAGGCGGAUGGGAACUCACGGACAGCAGGAUUUGGACUUCUUAUCGAACCGAACCUGUUUGUUUCGCACUUCUGCUGGAUUUGCGAUCAACACGUCCGGAUAGGGAUUUCUGUCGCACACCGACACGUUGUUCUGGACUCGAGAAGAACAAAAGAGAGUACAACAGAAAUAUAAACCGAUCUGCGUGAAGUAAGGGAGUCGCAUAAUCGCCGUGACUGCCGUUCUUUAACGUCAAAACACAGAGAAACUGCCGCAUCGAAACGCCCUUUGCGUGCGCAGCGUUCUGCACAUGGAGCCUAUGGGAACAAGUGCCACAACAACAACAACAACAACAAAACUAGAUAUACAGUCCGGUGUCUGCUUCAAACCCGAGGCGUACAGGAGGUUAGAUGUAAAUCUGCACCAUCACAGAAACAUCCUCACUCAGAAAUGGCAGUAGUCAGGACCUUCUGCUGCACUUCUGCUGCUCCCUAAUAGAAAGCCUAUUGAGGCCCAAUCAGCAGGUCUGUUCCAGCCUUGUAAGUGGAUUUCUCCCAUACCCCCAAGGGCUGCAAUUGUUCCAGCGGGCAUGGAUGCAUCCCCAUAUGAAGAAUGGAAAGAGGUAAAUAUCACUUAUCCCCCAACAGGUCGAAAUGAAACAGCAGCAGCUGGCAGAGAGCUGCUGAAAAUAUUGAGUUUAGUCUGAAAUUUAUCACUAAACGUAAGCCUCACUGUCUCUCAAACGCUAUACACUUUACUGUGUAAUAAGGGUCUAUGUGAAAUUAUUUAAUGUGCGAACAGUGUUGUCAAACGUGCCAUUCGCGAGAUCUAUUUUUCACAUCUCUCAGCCGGGUUGCCAUUGUCUCGUUUAAUCCGGUUAUAUCGUGUACAGAUUUUCACAUACAUUGAGUUUUUUUGUUGUUUCUUUUUCUUUCUUUCUUUUUUACCUUGCUGCUUUAAAAGACAAAUGGGAACAGAUGUGACUCUGAGCAGGGACGUUUUGAACAGAUUUGCUUCUUAUGUCAGAGGAGAAAUGGCAUUGUUUUCCGUUGCGUUACAACCUGGUGCCAUUUAUUAAAUAAAAGUGGGGAUCCGUUAUGAGGUGGAAUUUUAUGCCUCUGUCUGAAAUGCGAUCAUUGCAUCAAAGCACAGCCAUAAAUUUCUUUUUGAUAUAAUUGUAUUAAUGCAGCAAGUAAUGGAUGAGCAUAUGUUUCACAGUGAUUACUAUCCCUCUCUGACUGUGUGUCCUAGUUGCCUUCCCAUCGCCUGACUAUCGGAAUGAGAAUAUGUGCCUUGAGUUAAUGCUGAUUGCAGCAGCUGCCAACACAUGAAUCUCCAUGGCAACAAUAACGGUUGCCAGGCAACCAUGCUCUUUUAGGGACACUGAAAGAAGCCCAAAGGCGUACUAAAAAUAUAUAUAUGGGUAUAGUGCUUCUUGAACACCUCAGCCGUAUGCACGCCAUGCACAGAACAACAAAGAGUUAAACGCUUAAGAUGGCGACGUGUUAUUUUCUCCUCUUCAGCCGCAG